rnacentral:tRNA from 1 species
AAAUAUGAAUACUAAAUAGUAAUUUAAUUUCGACUUAAAUCCUGAAUAUAAAAGAUUAUUCUCAUAUUUU